AUUGAACGCUGGCGGAAUGCUUUACACAUGCAAGUCGAACGGCAGCACGGACUUCGGUCUGGUGGCGAGUGGCGAACGGGUGAGUAAUACAUCGGAACGUGCCCAAUCGUGGGGGAUAACGUAGCGAAAGCUACGCUAAUACCGCAUACGAUCUAAGGAUGAAAGCGGGGGAUCGCAAGACCUCGCGCGAUUGGAGCGGCCGGUGGCAGGUUAGGUAGUUGGUGGGGUAAAGGCGUACCAAGCCGACGAUCUGUAGCUGGUCUGAGAGGAUGAUCAGCCACAGUGGGACUGGGACACGGCCCAGACUCCUACGGGAGGCAGCAGUGGGGAAUUUUGGACAAUGGGCGCAAGUCUGAUCCAGCCAUUCCGCGUGCAGGAUGAAGGCCCUCGGGUUGUAAACUGCUUUUGUACAGAACGAAAAGGCUCUGGUUAAUACCUAGGGCUCAUGACGGUACUGUAAGAAUAAGCACCGGCUAACUACGUGCCAGCCGCCGCGGUAAAAC
rnacentral:rRNA from 1 species